CCAACAGGGAUUGCCUCAGUAACGGCGAGUGAAGCGGCAACAGCUCAAAUUUGAAAUCUGGCGCCCCUGGGCGUCCGAGUUGUAAUUUGCAGAGGAUGCUUCGGUACCGGCGCUGCUCCAGGUUCUUUGGAACAGGACGCCACAGAGGGUGAGAGCCCCGUCUCUGGGCGGCAGUCGGUACCAUGUGAAGCGCCUUCGACGAGUCGAGUUGUUUGGGAAUGCAGCUCAAAAUGGGAGGUAAAUUUCUUCCAAGGCUAAAUACAGGCCGGAGACCGAUAGCGCACAAGUAGAGUGAUCGAAAGAUGAAAAGUACUUUGGAAAGAGAGUCAAACAGCGCGUGAAAUUGUUGAAAGGGAAGCGCUUGCAGUCAGACUUGGCCGCCCGGUUCGGCGGGGUCUCGCACCCCGUCUACGCCGUGGCGAUCAGGCCAGCAUCGGUUCGGACGACCGGAUAAAGGCCGCGGGAACGUAGCUCCCCUCGGGGAGUGUUAUAGCCCACGGCACAAUACGGCCCGUCCGGACCGAGGAACGCGCUUCGGCUCGGAUGCUGGCGUAAUGGCUGCAAGCGGCCCGUCUUGAAACACGGACCAAGGAGUCUAACAUCUGUGCGAGUGUUUGGGUGUCAAGCCCUUGCGCGUAAUGAAAGUGAACGGAGGUGGGAGCCCUCGGGCGCACCAUCGACCGAUCCUGAUGUCUUCGGAAGGAUUUGAGUAAGAGCACAGCUGUUGGGACCCGAAAGAUGGUGAACUAUGCCUAAGCAGGGUGAAGCCAGAGGAAACUCUGGUGGAGGCUCGCAGCGGUUCUGACGUGCAAAUCGAUCGUCAAAUUUGGGUAUAGGGGCGAAAGACUAAUCGAACCAUCUAGUAGCUGGUCCUGCA
rnacentral:rRNA from 1 species